rnacentral:tRNA from 1 species
GGGCUUAGUUUAAAUAAAACAAUUGAUUUGCGUUCAAUGGAUGUAAGAUGAGAUCUUGCAGUCCUUA